CGGGCGGGGGGUUCUGGCGGGCGAUGCGGGGUCGCCCCGGGACCAUUCCGCACCGCCGGAGCCGCUACUUUGGGCAAUGUUUGUCUAAGUAUUUAUUCUGAGCGCUGUCGGACCGGAGAUGGCGGCAGCACGCUAAGCCUGCUGGAAUUUAACCCGGGGGAACUUAAAGCGGGCAGCUGGCAGAGCGAAGGAAAAACAAAGUCUGGAGUGUUUGUAUGCAUAACGUCCACUAAUGCCUACUGGAAAACACUGUGACACCAAGAAUUGCAGCACAGUUCCAUGAAAAUAACCAGCCUACCUCCACAAUUUAGGCAUUCCUCACCAGAGAUCUGAAAUGGCUCUGGAGUUUCCCUCUGGCAUUAACAAGGUCUUGUGAUCUCCCAGAAUAACCAUUUCCUCACCCAAGUGCUAGAUAAGAAACCGCAUUCCAGCUUCUUUGCUGGUCCACAAGGCAAAGACGACUUCGUUUGCAUCUCAAUGUCUUACCUGGUCACAGGAGUCGAGGAAUGAUGCAACGGAUUUCUUGCCCUGCAGGAAAGAGCGGGUGGGAGUCCUAGUACCACCUCUACUUCAGGGUUAGGAUUUCUCAAAAGCAAAGCAGUAUUACUUUCCUGUGAGGUUUUCUGAUGAAAAUAUUUUUUGUAUGUGGGGAAAAAAAGAGUUCUUUUGGUUUCUUUUUUUCUUUUUUUUUUUUUACCUUAAUGUGUUUUGGCUUUUUUUAUAGAGGUUAGAUACUGAGUCAUAUUUGAAGUCAGCUUUGAAGCUUUGACCGUGGUGUAACUCACAUACUUAACAUUUUAAACUUCAGUUUGAUUGAUUCCUCAUUCAUUACUCAGUGUUUCCUCCUAAUUUCUGGCAGGUAGUAAUUUCUGUGUUUUGGGAGAUUUAUGAUUUUGAAAGUCAACCAGGGGAAAUAGUGGGAGGAUGCGGAGAAAUAUUUAAAUUCUACGUCUUGAAUUGCUGAUGUAGAAGCCCACAAAUACAGAACAAUUUCCAUGUUGUAUUGAUGUUUCUCUACAAUUUAAAGGACAUUGGUCCUUUAAAUCCUCCUUAUACUAAGGAGGAUAUUUUUUACUAAGAGAUAAUUUUUACUCUAAAGUAGUUACCAUUUUCUGACUCUCAUAAUUUAAAAUUUUAUUGUAACAAGUUGGAAAUUGCAAAUCUUGUCUGUAUUGUAAAGUUCCUCUGACCAAGACUAUUUUUUUACUGCCCAUGUGUACUCUAGAGAUCAGAGUGAAGGCAUUUUAGCAGAUUUCAAAGGUUUCGGGAGGAUUUCAUAUACUAUUUAAUAUAUGAAAUCACAUUUUGUUUUAAACAAUGAUCCAACAUUUCUUUUUUGAAAUGGAAGCAGUAAUAAA